AGAGUUUGAUCAUGGCUCAGAUUGAACGCUGGCGGCAUGCUUUACACAUGCAAGUCGAACGGCAGCGCGGGGGCAACCCUGGCGGCGAGUGGCGAACGGGUGAGUAAUGUAUCGGAACGUAUCCUGUAAUGGGGGAUAACCAGUCGAAAGAUUGGGUAAUACCGCAUACGCACGAGAGUGGAAAGUAGGGGAUCGCAAGACCUUACGUUAUAGGAGCGGCCGAUAUCUGAUUAGCUAGUUGGUGGGGUAAAGGCCUACCAAGGCGACGAUCAGUAGCUGGUCUGAGAGGAUGAUCAGCCACACUGGGACUGAGACACGGCCCAGACUCCUACGGGAGGCAGCAGUGGGGAAUUUUGGACAAUGGGCGAAAGCCUGAUCCAGCCAUGCCGCGUGCGGGAAGAAGGCCUUCGGGUUGUAAACCGCUUUAGUCUAGGAAAAGGGGUGCGAGGUUAAUACCCUCGUGCUUUGAUGGUACUGGAAGAAUAAGCACCGGCUAACUACGUG
rnacentral:rRNA from 1 species